UCGACCUGAGCUCAGGCAAGAACACCCGCUGAACUUAA
rnacentral:rRNA from 3 species